rnacentral:rRNA from 1 species
UGCAGUCGAACGGCAGCGCGGACUUCGGUCUGGCGGCGAGUGGCGCAUGGGUGAGUAAUGUAUCGGAACGUGCCCUAGAGUGGGGGAUAACGUAGCGAAAGUUACGCUAAUACCGCAUACGAUCUAUGGAUGAAAGUGGGGGACCGCAAGGCCUCACGCUCAUGGAGCGGCCGAUAUCUGAUUAGCUAGUUGGUAGGGUAAAAGCCUACCAGGGCGACGAUCAGUAGCUGGUCUGAGAGGACGACCAGCCACACUGGGACUGAGACACGGCCCAGACUCCUACGGGAGGCAGCAGUGGGGAAUUUUGGACAAUGGGGGCAACCCUGAUCCAGCAAUGCCGCGUGUGUGAAGAAGGCCUUCGGGUUGUAAAGCACUUUUGUCAGGAACGAAACGGUGGGGGCUAAUAUCCCCUGCUAAUGACGGUACCUGAAGAAUAAGCACCGGCUAACUACGUGCCAGCAGCCGCGGUAAUACGUAGGGUGCGAGCGUUAAUCGGAAUUACUGGGCGUAAAGCGUGCGCAGGCGGUUGUGCAAGACAGAUGUGAAAUCCCCGGGCUUAACCUGGGAAUUGCAUUUGUGACUGCACGGCUAGAGUGUGUCAGAGGGGGGUAGAAUUCCACGUGUAGCAGUGAAAUGCGUAGAUAUGUGGAGGAAUACCGAUGGCGAAGGCAGCCCCCUGGGAUAACACUGACGCUCAUGCACGAAAGCGUGGGGAGCAAACAGGAUUAGAUACCCUGGUAGUCCACGCCCUAAACGAUGUCUACUAGUUGUCGGGUCUUAAUUGACUU